UACGUAGGCAGCAAGCGUUGUUCGGAGUUACUGGGCGUAAAGGGUGUGUAGGCGGUUGGAUAAGUGUGGUGUGAAAUCUCCCGGCUCAACUGGGAGGGUGCGCUACAAACUGUCUGACUCGAGUGUGGGAUGGGUAAGUGGAAUUCCUGGUGUAGCGGUGAAAUGCGUAGAUAUCAGGAGGAACACCGGUGGCGAAGGCGGCAUCCUGGACCGGUAUUGACGCGUGAGGCGCGAAAGCCAGGGAGCAAACGGG
rnacentral:rRNA from 1 species